UUAAGUAUUAGAAAAUCAUACGAUAUUUUGUGGUCCAAUCAGAGCAGGACACGUUAGAAAUUGCUUCGGGUUUCAAUACGCGAUGUGGGACAAUCGGUCCCCAAUAUGACCUGAUAUGAACAAAGAUUCAUUCCCGUUUAGCCAGUGAAAGUGACCAGUUCAUAUUCGCUUUCGAGAUCGCUGCAGAAGUGGACUACAAAUCAGUACAGAAUUUUAAGAUACCGUGUGAGCAAAUUAUAAGACAAUUUAACGAUAGUGAGAGCAGAGUUUUUACCUGUGAAGUGGAGCGUGUAUCCUUACUUUGUAUUACAAAAGCGAUCGUGAGUAGUUCUACAGAACGGUGGAUUUAAAAUUAGCGGCCAAGAGCCUGCAUUUAAGGUAAUUAUACUUGCUAGUGUUUAGCUGACAGUAUUUUACUGAAGUUGCUCGUUUUCGUCUGAAGAACCUUCAGGCGAAGGUUUUUUUUUUUGGGAUCAGGUACCAUCGUACUACCAGCGCCAGCACGAAAGCGCCCUAUCGGCGUUUCCACACGUGGUGCUUCGAGUAGCUCCUUGGAGGAUCAAGUCGUAGCUAGGCCCACGUGUGCCCUCCCCCCUCAACAACCACGAGCAACUGCCUUCCAGAUUCCACGAGCCACCGCUAGGAUC